GAUGAACGCUGGCGGCGUGCUUAACACAUGCAAGUCGAACGGAAAGGCCCAAGCUUGCUUGGGUGCUCGAGUGGCGAACGGGUGAGUAACACGUGGGUGAUCUGCCCUGCACUUUGGGAUAAGCCUGGGAAACUGGGUCUAAUACCGGAUAGGGCCAUCGUUUAGUGUCGGUGGUGGAAAGUUUUUCGGUGUGGGAUGAGCUCGCGGCCUAUCAGCUUGUUGGUGGGGUAAUGGCCUACCAAGGCGUCGACGGGUAGCCGGCCUGAGAGGGUGUACGGCCACAUUGGGACUGAGAUACGGCCCAGACUCCUACGGGAGGCAGCAGUGGGGAAUAUUGCACAAUGGGCGCAAGCCUGAUGCAGCGACGCCGCGUGGGGGAUGACGGCCUUCGGGUUGUAAACUCCUUUCGCCAAGGACGAAGCGUUUUGUGACGGUACUUGGAGAAGAAGCACCGGCUAACUACGUG
rnacentral:rRNA from 1 species